rnacentral:lncRNA from 1 species
UCCCUCGGAACACACGAGGCUUGACCUUCUUAACGCGUGCUUUUUCACUCUCUGCUGAUAUGACUGACCAUGACACAUGGCAGUUGAUCUCUUCUUUUCGAUCGAAUUCAGCAUCAGUCAACUUGGGACUUCGAGGGUGCUAUUUUUAUUUUGUUUUCUUUUGAUUUUGCUUUUGAUUUCUUUUGAUUUUGCACCCUCUCUUUCUUUGUUUUUUUCUUUUUUGAUUAAUGCCCCAGUUGGCUGUUCUGCUGAUUCUCGAGAUGCAGCUGAAUGAUCUUCUUUUCUUGCUCAAGAAAUCGGGAAAUCUCGUCAGGAAUCCCUUCAACAUCAUCUUCGUCCGCUUCAAAUACAGGGAAUUCAAAAUUGGGAGAUGACGUCCGAUCAUUAUGUUCAAUGGGUUUGAGAAACAACCUGCAUAAAGAUUUUGAUAUGAAAAGCUCUUUGAAAAUCAAACAAGACAAUCGUUAUGCAGAUGAAAAGAUUGCUUUUAUUCUUGUUUUUAAGGUUUUUUGUGAUCACCAAUUUCAUGUAAAUAGCGAAAAGAGAAAACAAAUGGAAAAACAAAUGUUUAACAUGAAUUUAUUUGAAUGAAAAUAUCAUUGCACAAAAUGUUGCCAACAAUGCCAUCACUUCUCCUUUUGGCAUGGGAGAAGGGUUUUUAAACAAAGUGAUUAUUACAAAGACUUAUGAACAACUGUAGGAACGCCCACAGUGACCCAAUUGUGAUAGAUCCCACCGGGGAUGACAACUGUCAGUAUCUCUUGCAUCAGCAGCUUCUGUU